UGUCCCUGACCUGGGUAGAGUGGCGUCUGGCAUCUAGUUGGUGGUGCCCAUCUCAUAUCAGCCAGGGACAAAGCAUCCGCUUGUUCAUCCCAGCUUGGCUUUUGAUCUGUGCCCAUGCCUGGUUCAUGCCUUGGACACAUAG
ensembl:snoRNA